CCUCAGGAAGCAGCAUUGGCAGUGCCUCAGCCAUGGCCUGGAUUCUUCUCCUCCUCGGCCUCCUUGCUCACUGCACAGGCUCUGCGACCUCCUUUGAGCUGACUCAGCCACCCUCGGUGUCAGUGGCCCCAGGACAGACGGCCAAGAUCACCUGUGGGGGAAACAACAUUGGAAGUAAAAAUGUGUACUGGUACCAGCAGAAGCCAGGCCAGGCCCCUGUGCUGGUCAUCUAUAGGGAUAGCAACCGGCCCUCAGGGAUCCCUGAGCGAUUCUCUGGCUCCAACUCAGGGAACACGGCCACCCUGACGAUCAGCGCGGUCGAGGCCGGGGAUGAGGCCGACUAUUACUGUCAGGUGUGGGACAGUACUAGUGACCAUCCCACAGUGACACAGGCAGAUGAGGAAGUGAGACAAAAACAUCCUCCCAGCGUCGAUCACCCUCUUGCUGCAGCCCCGGGAGGCCUGUUGAUAAAGUCAUGA